rnacentral:rRNA from 1 species
UACAGAGACUGCAAGCGUUAUUCGGAUUCACUGGGCGUAAAGGGUGCGCAGGCGGUCGGGUGUGUCAGAUGUGAAAUCCCGAGGCUCAACCUCGGAACUGCGUCUGAAACUACUCGACUAGAGUACUGGAGAGGGUAACGGAAUUCCCGGUGUAGUGGUGAAAUGCGUAGAUAUCGGGAGGAACACCAGUGGCGAAGGCGGCUUCCUGGCCUGUUCUUGACGCUGAGGCGCGAAAGCUAGGGUAGCAAACGGGG